rnacentral:rRNA from 1 species
GACGAACGCUGGCGGCGUGCUUAACACAUGCAAGUCGAACGGUGAAGCGCCUUCCUUUUUGGUGGGUGUGGAUGAGUGGCGAACGGGUGAGUAACACGUGAGUAACCUGCCCCCUUCUUCUGGAUAACCGCAUGAAAGUGUGGCUAAUACGGGAUAUUCUGGGUCUGUCGCAUGAUGGGUCUGGGAAAGAUAUUGUUUCGGUGGGGGAUGGGCUCGCGGCCUAUCAGCUUGUUGGUGGGGUGAUGGCCUACCAAGGCGGUGACGGGUAGCCGGCCUGAGAGGGUGGACGGUCACACUGGGACUGAGACACGGCCCAGACUCCUACGGGAGGCAGCAGUGGGGAAUAUUGCACAAUGGGCGCAAGCCUGAUGCAGCGACGCCGCGUGAGGGAUGGAGGCCUUCGGGUUGUGAACCUCUUUCGCCGGUGAAGCAGGCCUGCCUCGUUUGUGGGUGGGUUGACGGUAGCUGGAUAAGAAGCGCCGGCUAACUACGU